rnacentral:sRNA from 1 species
UGCUUAUAUUGGUGUUGCAUACGCGUCUA